rnacentral:lncRNA from 1 species
UUGAUUAUCUCCUGGUCUUCAACCCUCUGCAAAUAUCCCCAAAACCUAAGCCAAUGGGUCGCCCGAAACAGAACCUGCAAAUAAGUAACCAUCGGGGUUUUGUUAAACACUAAGUCAUUCCGACUUAUCCAGAUAGCCCAACAUAAAGCUGCAACACCUGUAAUAAUCAGAUUUUUAACUUUGAGGUGCACCCCAUGCAACCAAGAUCCAAAAAUAUGUUUAAAUGAUCUCGGGGUACUUAGACCAAAACACCAAUAUAAAAGCCUCCAAAAGAAUCUAGCGUAAUGACAUUUAAAAAACAAGUGUUGUAUAGAUUCAUUCGAAUCACAGAACACACAUUUUUUACUUCCCUGCCAUCUACGCUUAGCUAGAUUGUCUUUCGUGAGAGCUACACCUCUAAUAAGAUACCACAUAAAGAUCUUAAUUUUCAGAGGUAUUUUCAUCUUCCAAAGCGGUUUGAAAUAGAAAAUCUUGGGAUUACUAAUAAGAGCAUUGUACAUCGAACGGACCGUAAAAAGCCCCGAGGUUGACAAAUUCCAUUUGAACUCAUAUCUCCCAGUGGAUAGAUGAGUAUGAGCAAUACUCAAGACCAAUCUAUUCCAACAUAAAAGAUUACCACCCACCAGCGCUCUGCGGAAAGAGAUGUUUAGAGGAAUCCUAUUAAAAACAUUUGCCACAGUAUCACUUUUUUUACGAGCUAUAUUAUAUAAGGACGGAAAUUUUAUCAUUAGAGGUUGUUUACCCGUCCACGUGUCCUCCCAAAAUCUAAUCUGCUUCCCAUCUUUAAGAAUAAAGGAACCAAGACCAAAGAAUUGGUCUUUAACUUUCAGUAGCCCAGACCAAAAAUGAGAGUCACCAGGUUUUCUACCUACCUUUGACAAGGUACAAGAUUUGAGGUAUUUGUUCCUAAGUAAAUUUUGCCAUAGACCGUCCUCAUUAAUCAAUUUAAAUAACCAUUUACCAAGCAAACACUUAUUUUGAACCUCUAUGUUCUGAAUACCUAGACCUCCUUGGUCUUUAGGUUGACAAAGAAUAUCCCAACGUGCAAGUCUAUACUUUUUUUAUGAUGAUCUCCUUGCCAGAAGAACCUAGAGCGAUAGUAGUCUAUUUUUUCCAGUACACCCUUAGGCACUUCAAAAAAAGACAACAUAAACAUAACUAAGCUUGUGAGAACAGAAUUAAUCAAGACUAACCGGCCACCUACCGACAUAAGUUUUCCCUUCCAGCUGCUCAAUUUCUUUUCAAACUUUAUCUCUAUGGUUUUCCAAUCACUAUUACUUAACUUUCUAUAAUGCAUUGGGAUCCCCAAGUAUCUGAAAGGAAAGCCGCCUUUUUGGCAUCUAAAUAGAGAGAGAUAGAGUGUUUCUUCCUCCUCAGUCAGACCAAAACCAAAAAGCUCACUUUUAUGAUAAUUUAUCUUUAACCCUGAAACUUGUUCGAAAGUUAUCAAUAAGAGCUUUAAAUUUGCCGCUUUUGCUAAGUCAUGUUGCAAAAAAAGGAUGGUGUCAUCCGCAUAUUGCAGAAUGGAUAAACCCCCAUCCACUAAAUGCGGGAUGAGUCCUUCAAAUUGACCCUCCUCUUUUGCUCUAUUUACCAAAAUAGCAAGCAUGUCUACAACUAUAUUGAAUAAAAUAGGAGAAAGAGGGUCCCCCUGGCGUAAACCUUUAUAAGUCUGGAAAUUUGCACCAAUAUGGUCAUUCACUUUAAUGCCAACAUGACCACCUGUUGUGACUGAAUUAAUCCAGGCACACCACUUUUCGGAAAAACCUUUCAUACGUAAUGUUUGUUGUACAAAAGGCCAUUUGAUCUUAUCAUAAGCUUUCUCAAAGUCAAGCUUCAAAAUCACCCCACAAUCCUUUUUUCUACGCAGCUCGUGAAUAGUCUCAUGUAGAACCACUACCCCUUCCAUGAUAUUCCUGCCUGGUAUAAAAGCUGUCUGGGAAGGGCCUAUUACCUUACUUGCUACCCCCGAUACUCGAUUUGUAAGUACUUUGGUAAAGAUCUUAAAACUAACAUUUAGUAAACAAAUAGGUCUAUAAUGUUGAAUAGACAUAGCAUCUUUACUUUUAGGCACGAGAAUAAUGUGGCCAAAAUUAAGUCUAAAAAGAGGUAACUCCCCCUUAUGGAAGGCAUCAAACAAAGCCAACAAAUCAUUUUUUAUAACAUUCCAGAACACCUGAUAAAAUUCCGCCGGAAAGCCAUCUGGCCCCGGGGCCUUAUUGUGUUCCAUCUGGAAAAUUGCUUCUCUAAUGUCGUUUUCAGUAAACACUGUCGUUAGAAAAGAAUUCUCAUCCGGAGAAACUUGCGGGAUAUCAUCCAUUACAGACGAGUCCAAAGACGCCCUAGAUGCUUCAGGUGGACCAAAAAGACCUUUAUAGUAGGAAGUGAUAUGCUCUUUCAAAAGUGCAUCACCUUCUAUAACCUGGUCCCCAUUUUGAAGAUGAUAAAUUCUCGACUUUCUAUGUUUACCACUUGCCACUAAGUGAAAAUAUUUUGUAUUAGCAUCACCUUGUAACAAACCCUUAGUCUUGGCUCUUUGAUACCAUUUUACCUCCUCUUCUCUUAGUAAUUCUGCAAGUCUACUUUGCAAGUAUUGUUUUAAGUCAAGCUCUUGUGCUGACAAAACAGAUACUUCUGCUUUUUUAUCCAACACAUCCAAACUGUUCAAAAUUCCUUUCUUUUCUUUUUUGUACGCCCCACUUACAUUUUUUGCCCACCCUCUUAAGUGCUGCCUAAGCUUCCUGAUUUUAGCUUGCCAAUUCUCCAUAGGUGACUGACCCCUAGACUCGUAUGACCAAACUUCUCUAACCAUAUCGAAGAACCCGUCCCUCAGAAGCCAACCAAGCUCGAACUUGAAAGAAUGUUGGGAGGAACUAGAGAUUUGUUCCCCAGAAUUCAGUAAUAGAGGAGUAUGGUCGGAAAUGUCACGGCUUAGGGCCCUCACAGAAGACAAAGGAUAUUUUUGAUCCCACUCUGUGGUUACCAGGAUUCUAUCCAACUUUUCAUACGUAGGUCUUUCGAGGUUAUUUGCCCAAGUGAAUUGGCGACCAGUCAACUCUAGUUCCUUAAGACAUAGACCAUCAAUAACGACAUUAAAAAGAAAUGGCCACCGAUGAUCAAAAUUGUCUUUAUUUUUUUCGCUAGAGAAUCUUAAGAUAUUAAAAUCACCACCAAUCACAAGAGGCAGCGUCUCAUGGUUGCCCAUGCGAACCAGUUCAGAUAAGAUCAUCUCUUUUUUUUCUAAUUGAGCCGGGCCAUAGACCAAUGUUAAAGCCCACUUGAAGCAAUCAUUUUUAUUGCACAAAGUGAAUUUAACAAAAAAAUCUCCUUCUUCUAUAGCCCCAAUAUCAUAAAUGUCCAAAUCAACACCCAAUAACAAACCACCAGAGCGUCCCUCAGGUUGUUUAUAGUGCCACAAAAAAAUUUUACCUCCACAUAAAUUACGAAGGGAGGGUUCGGUGAAGGAUUUACGUACUGUCUCCGAAAUCGCAAUAAAAGAGAGGUUCAGUUCUUUAGACAAAUCUGAAAUGAACCUAAAUUUUUUGGGGUCUCUAAACCCAUUGCUGUUCCAAAAAACACCCUUCAUUUUGAAACAGAGCGAGAUUUUUUCCUACCUUUUCUUUUCUUUUUAUGAGAUACUGCAGUACGAGCCCGAAUAAACUGCUCACUGGUUGUAUCCAUAACUUCUUCUAGGAUGUCACUACACAGGUUGCUUAACAUAAGUUUUUCUAAUUCCUUCUCCUCAUAAAACUCCUUUUCCUCUUUAGCAAUAGCCCUAUCUAUCACAUUUGUGUCACUCGGUACUAAAGCACAAGAAUUUACAGAGUUAGAAAGAAAAUCCACAAACUUCUGUAAGUCACUAGAGCAAUCAGAAAAUUUGAAACCGAUAUGUCUAAGGUUGGAAAGGAUUUUCUCACUAGGCAAGAAACAAGAGGGUGCAACAUGUUGCGUACCUUCAGUAAAAGAUUUAUCCAGGUUCCUAGCAGCCUUCAGCUUGGUAGCUCGCUCAAUAGAAUCCCCAGUGCUUAAAUUUGCUCUCCUUUUGCUUCUUUUCGAUACCGCAUUGCCAAGAAGACUCUCCGAGACAGCAGCCAACAUCGAAGCUUUAGGUGUCAAGACCCCAGCCAUCUCCUUGCUCACUGUACCCAAAGAGUUACUUGUCGAGCCCCUAGAAAUGGGCGACCUCGGCACCACACCACAACUGAUCUGGUCUCUAUGUGAUCGAGUGACGGUGUCUGCAGGAACAAAUUGUUCUUGCAAGACAGCCUCGAGCACCCGCCUGCCAUUCUGACCGUUGCCACCAAUUUUACUAGUCGAGCUACUCGCCAAAUCAUUUUUCUUUCUAGUGCCCCCUUCCUUAUCCUGUGGGACAGGCCCAUUUCCAUCAGCACCAUAAGGUUCAUCAUCUCCAAAAUCCUCAUCAUCCAUGUCCAUUAGAACCGGGUUAUCAGAGUCCACAUUUUCCUCUACCCGAAAUUGCAGCUCAUAUAAAUGGUCACCGAUGACAAUAUCCACAAACUGAGGAAUGAGGUUUGGAUCAAGAACAAGUACUUGAAGACGGCAAACAUCAAACUUGUUCGUAAACUUCAUAUCGACAGCCUUUGUCACCCCCAAGAUUGAUCCAACAGCCCAUAUCAACAAAUACUGUUUCAUUUCAGAAGGUAAACCCGUAAACUGGAGCCAUAUUUUUUUAAGUACAGCCUUAGGCAUCUUAGCAGCGACUGGUUCUUCAAUCUUCAUGGCCGCAUUGUAUUUUGUUUGGACCACCCCCCACUCCAACAUAUGGUCCAAGUCCUCUCGCGAUGGAAACACUGUCCUGAAACAGUUCGGACCAGAUUUCUCCACAACCCAAUUCCAAUUGCCUGAGACCAAUCUCUCUAAUUCAGCCACAACUUGCGACUCUGACAGCACACCGCUAGUGAUCUUCACUGAGGCCAACAAAGACACGGUCUUAUUUCUCUGUUGCGGCACAAAGGGGAUGUAGUAGAAACCUAAACCAUCCACGGCGUAACCGCAGGUUAAGGCACUAGGUUUGUCCCCCCUGAACUUCGGACACCUUUCCGUGUUGUGGGCAUCAGCACGACAGAUGUCACAAAACAGCUUAGCAGUACAACCUUUCAUGGCAUGUCCUUUGGUCAAACAACGAUAGCAGUACGGCUGUUUACUAGAUGUUUCUUUCACCACUGGAUAAUCAUCCAUAUCUACCGCCACACCUUUGCCCUUGUCCGAUGCAAUAUUUGAAUGACCAGCACCCAGCUGAAGAGCAGCACAGUUAGUCACCGGAGCUGACUUCUGCCCGAUCGCAUGGCUUAGCAAUGCAACAGCUUGUGCAAUCAUACCAGUAGAAGAUGCAGAUGGGUCCGACACAGCCGCCGCUGACAGGUUAACCGGAGUACGAGAGCCUCUGUUCCCCUGGAAGCCUCCUCUGAACUGAUCUCGACUUCCAGGAUUGGAACCUGCAUACCCAAAGUUGCCUCGGUGCCCACCAGCGACGCCAGCACCCAGGCCAUAGCUCCCAUGACGGCCACGUACAGAUCGACCCCUGUGCCCACCUUGCCCGAGGUACGGUCGGCGAUAACCCCCGCGACCUACCAGGUCUCCCUGGCUGUUUGAACGGCCCCCACGACCGCCCUGAGCUCCAUCACGGCCAGAAGCACCUCCUGCACGUUGUCCUCCCCCUCCAUGGAGCCAAGCAGAAUGUCUGCGUAUGUGGCGGCGCGAAAGCAAGGAGACACAGGUUGAGCAGAACGAAUGUGAGGAGCCCUAGCAAGACCCACACCAGUUCCGGUCCUGGCAAACAGAGCCACUAAACCCGACGCAGGCCUGUAUGGCAUAUGUGGCCCAAUUUUCAGAGUCUGAUGCCUGGUAUCACCAAGCGGCCCAAGACCCUGACAGAUGGAUGCCCGAUCAUUGCGCACAUUUGAAAUUUUUUGAAGGUCACCACGAACUGCAGAACAGGAAAGCCUUACAUCCUGCCGUGCCGAACGCCAUGGCAGGACAGCACUGAUCUGCGAUCGAUGCGAGGAGAUCAAUGCUCUACCAAUGGCGUCGCCAAGGGUCAGCCGAGGAGAAAUCCUAGGUGUCGGCAACCGCCCCUUCCAAGGACGUUGAUCUGACCGCCUCUUUGUUCCAGACUCCACCGUAUAAGAACCAAGAGGUAAUCCCAUAUCCGAGUACGAGCCAGAUGUAGGCUCAGGAACUAGAGGCGGGAGACAAUCAGACGAACGGGACAUCGGGAGAGCAGGAGUUUCGCAAUCCCCAAGUGAAACGAUGUGUUCGUCUACCACAGAUUCUGAAUCAGAGGUACUUCCAAGUGCCCAGAAACGGCCACCAUGAAAGUCCUCUAUUCCAUGAACGUGUGAACCAGUUCUAGAGGCUGAAGCAACUAGGCACUCGUUGAAACGAUGCAAUUGCUCCAAUUCUAAGAACCGUUCUAAGUCUGGAUCAUCAGGAUACUGACCCAGAGGGAAUUUCGAACUCGGGGUCGUCGCCAAUUGUAGACGACGAACACGAACCUUGCCUCUCAUAGAGGACGAAAAAUAAAACAAACGAAGAACAGCAAGGGACUUACUCUACGUGGAAGACUGGGAGAGCUCGGUUUCGCCGCCGAAGCCAAGAAUGUUGGCACCAUUGACGAGAACUCUGAGACGCUCCGCCACGGCGGCGGGAGGAGCCGGAGAUGAUGCCGCGGCGAGCGGGAGGCCUCG